rnacentral:rRNA from 1 species
AUUGAACGCUGGCGGCAUGCCUUACACAUGCAAGUCGAACGGCAGCACGGGAGCAAUCCUGGUGGCGAGUGGCGAACGGGUGAGUAAAGUAUCGGAACGUGCCCAGUCGUGGGGGAUAACGUAGCGAAAGUUACGCUAAUACCGCAUACGAUCUAUGGAUGAAAGCGGGGGAUCGCAAGACCUCGCGCGAUUGGAGCGGCCGAUAUCAGAUUAGGUAGUUGGUGGGGUAAAGGCUCACCAAGCCGACGAUCUGUAGCUGGUCUGAGAGGACGACCAGCCACACGGGGACUGAGAGACGGGCCAGACUCCUACGGGAGGCAGCAGUGGGGAAUUUUGGACAAUGGGCGCAAGCCUGAUCCAGCCAUGCCGCGUGCAGGAUGAAGGCCUUCGGGUUGUAAACUGCUUUUGUACGGAACGAAAAGGUUUGGCCUAAUAAGCUGAGCUCAUGACGGUACCGUAAGAAUAAGCACCGGCUAACUACGUGCCAGCAGCCGCCGUAA